AAGGACUUAGCUUAAAAUAAAGUGAUUGAUUUGCAUUCGGUUGAUGUGGAGUAGGCCUCUGCAGUCCUUA
ensembl:Mt_tRNA